rnacentral:rRNA from 1 species
UCCAGCGGGGAGCGUUAGUAUUGUACCUCUGGCUGAGCGGCGAACGGGUGAGUACGCGUGGGGAAUCUGCCUUUGAGGGGGGGACAACAUUUGGAAACCAAUGCUAUUACCGCAUAAAAACUUUAAACACAAGUUUUAAGUUUGGAAGAUGCAAUUGCAUCACUGAAAGAUGAUCCCGCGUUGUAUUAGCUAGUUGGUGAGGUAAAGGCUCACCAAGGCGAUGAUACAUAGCCGACCUGAGAGGGUGAUCGGCCACAUUGGGACUGAGACACGGCCCAAACUCGUACGGGAGGCAGCAGUAGGUAAUCUUCGCCAAUGGACGAAAGUCUGACCGAGCAACGCCGCGUGAGUGGAGAAGGCUUUCGGAUCGUAAAACUCUGUUGGUAGAGAAGAACGUUGGUGAGAGUGCAAAGCUCAUCAAGUGACGGUAACUACCCAGAUAGGGACGGCUAACUACGUGGCAGCAGCCGCGGUAAUACGUAGGUCCCGAGCGUUGUCCGGAUUAAUUCGGCGUAAAGCGAGCGCAGGUGGGUUAUGAAGUCUGGUGUAUAAGGCAGUGGCUCACCCAAUGUAUGAU